UCCGUAUGUGUGCAUGUGCGUAUAUUCAUAUACGUGUGUGUGCACACACACACACACACACACACACACACACAUACACACAC
rnacentral:miRNA from 1 species